rnacentral:rRNA from 1 species
CCUCCCUUCAACCCAUUUUUAUUAAAGAGCAAUUCUAUAUCUUUAUAGAAGAUUUAAUGUUAAAACUAGUAAUAAGAAGCAGACCCUUCUCUUUAAUGUAAACUUAUAUCAGCAAGGACACCNCCACUGAUCUUUAACGUCCCUAAAAUUAUAGUAAAAACUUAGCAAGAAAACAUUACUCUUAUUUACGUUAACCUUACACAAGAACAUUUUAAGAAAGAUUAAAAGGAAAAGAAGGAACUCGGCAAAUAUUAGCCCCGCCUGUUUACCAAAAACAUCGCCUCUUGAUAAUUUAUAAGAGGUCCAGCCUGCCCAGUGACUCUGUUCAACGGCCGCGGUAUCCUAACCGUGCGAAGGUAGCGUAAUCACUUGUUCUUUAAAUGAGGACUAGUAUGAAUGGCCCCACGAAGGCUACACUGUCUCCUUUUCCUAAUCAAUGAAACUAAUCUUCCCGUGAAGAAGCGGGAAUAAUAAUAUAAGACGAGAAGACCCUAUGGAGCUUUAAACUAUAGAAACACUUGCUUUGUACCUUUAACCCUCCCGAGAUUUNUCCAAAUAUUUAAGCAAUUUUUAUUUCUAGUUUUAGGUUGGGGUGACCACGGAGUAAAAUUCAACCUCCUCGAUGAAAGAGAUCUUCUCUUAGCUAAAAGCUACCUCUUUAAGCACCAACAAAUUGACUCUCAUUGACCCAAUUAAUUGAUCAACGAACCAAGUUACCCUAGGGAUAACAGCGCAAUCUACCUCGAGAGCUCAUAUCGACAGGUGGGUUUACGACCUCGAUGUUGGAUCAGGGUAUCCUAGUGGUGCAGCCGCUACUGAUGGUUCGUUUGUUCAACG